rnacentral:sRNA from 1 species
UUGUGGGUGAGGGAGGGCAGAAAGGGAGAGUGCUGGGCGGGCUUAGUCGGAGAUUGAGGACUGGGAAUCCGCUUCCGGGAGGGCACUGUCUAGUGCACAGGCAACCUAGCCUUGGCCUCCUAGCCCGAGAAGCCGAAUCUCCCUAAUCCCUGUGACCUGUGUCACCUCUGCAUCGCGAGGAGGGGGAUAAGUGGGGAGAAGUCUGAUGUCAGAUGGGAUGGCGCCGGAAAAGGGUGCCACAGCGGGGACGGAAGGCGCCCCCACCCCAACUCCACGGGAAUAUAAACAAUUUGUAUUUUCCGAUCAGGUGGCGGGACAGGCUUCAUUGGGACAGCCCUAACCCAGCUGCUGAAUGCCAGAGGCCACGAAGUGACGUUGGUCUCCCGAAAACCCGGGCCCGGCCGGAUCACGUGGGUAAGUCCAUCCUCUGGAAGCGGGUGGGAGGGCAGAGUUGGGCGGCGCAGGGCGGGGCAGGGGUACUGGGUGCUUUCUCCGACAGGAUGAGCUCGCUGCAUCGGGGCUGCCGAGCUGCGAUGCCGCCGUCAACCUGGCCGGAGAGAACAUCCUCAACCCUCUCCGAAGAUGGAAUGAAACCUUCCAAAAAGAGGUUCUCGGCAGCCGCCUAGAGACCACCCAAUUGCUGGCUAAAGCCAUCACCAAAGCCCCACAACCCCCCAAGGCCUGGGUCUUAGUCACAGGUGUAGCUUACUACCAGCCCAGUCUGACUGCGGAGUAUGAUGAAGACAGCCCAGGAGGGGACUUUGACUUUUUCUCCAACCUCGUAACCAAAUGGGAAGCUGCAGCCAGGCUUCCUGGAGAUUCUACACGCCAGGUGGUGGUGCGCUCAGGGGUUGUGCUGGGCCGUGGGGGUGGUGCCAUGGGCCACAUGCUGCUGCCCUUUCGCCUGGGCCUGGGGGGCCCCAUCGGCUCAGGCCACCAAUUCUUCCCCUGGAUACACAUCGGGGACCUGGCAGGAAUCCUGACCCAUGCCCUUGAAGCAAACCACGUGCACGGGGUCCUGAAUGGAGUAGCUCCAUCCUCCGCCACUAAUGCUGAGUUUGCCCAGACCUUGGGUGCUGCCCUGGGCCGCCGAGCCUUCAUCCCUCUCCCCAGCGCUGUGGUGCAAGCUGUCUUUGGGCGACAGCGUGCCAUCAUGCUGCUGGAGGGCCAGAAGGUGAUCCCACGGCGAACACUGGCCACUGG